rnacentral:rRNA from 1 species
GCAAUAUGAAGGUCAGGCUGAAGACCUUACCCGAUUAGCUGAGAGGUGGUGCAUGGCCGUCGUCAGUUCGUACUGUGAAGCAUCCUGUUAAGUCAGGCAACGAGCGAGACCCACGUCCACAGUUGCCAGCAUACCCUCCGGGGUGAUGGGUACACUGUGGAGACCGCCGCUGCUAAAGCGGAGGAAGGAGUGGGCAACGGUAGGUCAGUAUGCCCCGAAUCUCCCGGGCUACACGCGGGCUACAAUGGUUGGUACAAUGGGCAUCUACCCCGAAAGGGGAAGGAAAUCUCUUAAAGCCAAUCGUAGUUCGGAUUGAGGGCUGCAACUCGCCCUCAUGAAGCUGGAAUCCGUAGUAAUCGCGUUUCAACAGAACGCGGUGAAUACGUCCCUGCUCCUU